UAAUGUAACACACAAUUCUAUGCUCAUUUGUUUUGGGAAGUUUGUCCCUUGGGGCUUGCGGUUGAGCUGCCGUAAAGUAUGUUGGUUGCUGCAAAUAGAUAGAGAGAG